UGGUUUUGUCUGUGUGAAUUGAAUGAUAUGGCCAGCUGAAUUCACCAAUGUCUGGAAAUGCUCAGUCAAAAUAUUUGAGUCAUUUCAUUUUUGCUGCAUCCAAGUUAUAGAUUCAUUAGGGCCCGGUAGCUAUGGUCCUCCAUAAAAUAAUUUUAACGUAACUGAAGUUUAUUCAUAGGUUAGUAAAUGCAACUAGAUACUCUUUAUACACUCUUGCAAGCCGGGUGUGGUAGCACAUGUCUAUAAUCCCAGUGACUAGGGAGGCCAAGGCAGGAGGAUUGCAAGUUCAGGGUCAACCUCAGCAACUUCAAAGUAAAAAAAAGGGCUGGGGAUGUGGCUCAGUGAUUAAGCAGCCCUGGUUCAGUCCCCAAACACACACGCAAGCACUUAAGAGGACUGGGGAAACAGCUCAGUAGUUGGGCACUUGCCUAGUUUUUAAGAGAGAAUCUUACAUCCUGAUUUUUGUCUUGGAGGGAAAGUUGCAAGUAAGAGGUUCUUUUGCUCCUAACCAAACAUAACUGUUUUUCAGGUAUCUCAAAUGGGGAUUACUUUUCCAAAGCAAGUGAGAAAGUUUUUCUCCCAACCAUCUUGUCCAUAUGAGAGCUUCCGCAUCGCUUGCUGCCUAGACAAAUGUCUUGGGGAGGCCCUAGCAAUGUAUAUGAGUUAAGUCUCCACAAUGUUCUCAACUGCCAUUAUCCCAUGGCCAAGAGACAAAGUCUUGAAGAGCCUAUUAUGCCAUGUCUCACAAGAGAACUUCUCUGCUGUCAGGGCCCCAGAUCUCUUGUCUAGAAAUAGUUAAGCACAUUUUUAAUUGAAAUUGGUAUUGUUCCAGAACCAACUUGUUGCAGCGUGAAAGAAUUUCUUCACUUAGAUUCUGAUCAGUAUCACAUACCAAAAUGUGAGUAAAGGGCUACUUUAAAGAGCACCAAGGCAAGGAGAAGGACAGGGACCUGGGGCUGCUCUUGAAGACUCCCAGCUUCCUGAGAAGGGGUAAAUCUUGACAUUUAUCUUUCCCUUCUCCAAGUCCAAGAUGAUACAUGGGUGACAGGAAAUUUUGUAGUACCAACCUCUGCCUCAUGAAGGUAGCAAAAAAAAAUGGACUUAUCGCUGGUAAUUCCAUAUUUCCAUGGAAAAUCUAUUAGAUAUUACUUUUCUUUCCAGAGUGUCAUGAAAAGUCAGAGGUUAGAUUAAAGACAAGAACCGUUCUAUCCAGUCAGGGCCCUGCCCAGCUGGCGUCAGAAAGUGGUAAGAAUGUCCUUUGGCUGAAAACAAAAGAGGAGGGUGAAAAAGGAAACAGAAGCACGCCUCGCUUCAUACUGCUCGCCUCCUCUGGAAUUCAAUGCCUCAUGCUUUUCCUUCCCCCAGGAUUCCACAUUGAGAGUUUAAAAAUGCAUCUGUCAAUUAUUAAGUAAGUAGUUUGGGCAAAGUCCCAGUGCUAGGGGCAAUGGAGGACACAGAGGCCUGUGAUAAAUAUCCCUGUCCUCCGUGGCCCUUAUUAUCCACUGAGAAACAGAUUUAAAAACUGAGUGUUGGAGCCAGGCUCAGUGGCAGACACCUGUAAUUCCAGAGACUCAGAAGGCUGAGGCACAAGUUCAAGGCCAGCCUAGGCAUCUCAACAUAAAAAAAUAGAAAGGACUACAGAUGUUGCUCAGUGGAUUUAGCCCCUGGCUUUAGUACCCAAAACAGAAACCAGAGUAUUGGAGAAGUUGCAUGUAAUCACAUGCAAGACAGUCACUGAAAAAGGAUGCUCACUGAAGCUCUGAGAAACUUGCUGUGAUUACUUCCUGCUUGUAGGAAGCAGCAUAUGCCAGGACAUAUUGAAACUAAGCACCGUCGGGUCAAGAGGUAAAUCUCCUGUUUUGUUGGGGAAUCACUGAAGACAUCAUGAAAGAGUGGUAUUUAGUCUUUUUUUUUUUUUUUCCUUUUUGUGUGUGUGUGCUGGUGAUUGAACCCAAGGCCUUGUGCACGGAGGCAAGCACUCUACCAACCUGAGCUAUAUCCCCACCCCUUGAGUUAGUCUUCUAAGUUCUAAGGAUAGUGAGGACCUUGGGAGGCAGGAUGGUAGAAUGGGAAUAAUUCUAUCCCUGUUGCUUAUUAGCUGUGGGACCCUGGGCAGGAUACUUAAUUUUCAGUUUUCUUGUUUUGUUUAAUUGUGUUUUCAGUGCUGGGAAUGAAACCCAGAGCUAUAUAAAGCCUUACACUCUUUUUUUUUUUUUUUUUUUUUUGAGACAGGGUAUCAUUAAGUUGCUGAGGGCCAAAGUUGAAGCUGGCUUUCUGGCUUUGAACUUGGCAAACCUUUUAUCUCAAGACUCCUGAGCCACUGGGAUUACAGACAUGUACCACUGUGUGUGGCCCCUUACUCAUCAUGCUCUUAUCUCUAAAAUGAGAAAUGAUACAUGUGGAAGUAUUAAAUUUAGUACAGUUUUCUGGCAUGGUAAUUAUUUAGUAUGUGGCAGCUAUUAUUGUUAGAGUCUUGAGAGGUUAUUUUACAGAUUAGCAAUAACAUGGGCAAAAUCGAAGAGUUAGUAAAGGCAUCUCUCCCAAACCUUUCUCCCAGACACCAAUCCUGUAUCUCAAAUUAGAAACCCUGAAGAUCAGUUGGUAGAGUGCUUGCCUUACGUGCACAAGGCCCUGGGUUCAGUCCCCAGCACCACCAAAAUAAAAUAAAUAAAUAAAAAUUUUAAAAAGCCUCUUUCUCUCCCCCUGAUUCUAAAAACUCACUGCUAGAUUCUCAGAAAUGUCUCUUGAAUUUGUCACCUCCCUUGCAUCCCCACCACCUUGGUGCAUCAUCUCUGCUCAGCUGUGGCAACAGCCUUCUAUCUGGUCUUCCUGCCACCAGGGCAGGACAGUCAGUUGGCAGUAGAUAAAGCCAGAGCUCUAUAGGGGACCAAGGUAUGGAUGAUGUCUUCAACUUUCAUCUGCCUAUGCUGGCAAGUGACAAAGGACAAAAACCUUUUCUGACCCAAGUUUCUUAAGAUUUCUUGCCUUAACAUCCUAAUCCUUUCACCCCGAGCCCAAGCCACAUAGUCCCAAUUCUUUUGCAACCUCCUCUGCUGUGCACAUUUGUGCUUCUGUGGCAGCUGCAAUCUGUGUCUGUUAUCUUCCACUGAAGUCUUGUGCUGGAGGAGUCAAGCUGAGAGACAGGGAUAUUUAUAAAUGGAAAGUGGGUGUAAAGUUCUGCAGUUACAAAUGUUUUAAAUAAGGCUAAUUUCACCUCUUCCCCCAUUUAAGCUUUGAAAUUCCUGUCCACCCCCUCAUCUCCCAUCUUUCCCCAAAGCCUGUAAGUUCCUGUCCUAUCUUUGGUCAGAGCCACAAUCCUGAAUACCAUGGGGGCUAAAAGAUGUAACACGAAAUGAAGUGGGAAAUUCAUAAAUUCAGCAUCCAGAGACAAUGAUAGAGAAUAAAUGCAUAGAGAGUAAAUGCUAUUGAGAUACUACCUGAGAAUAAAAUACUUGCUAAUGGCCCACUGUAUGCCUCUCCUGUAUUUCCCUUAGCUCCAACCCAUAAAACAGCCAUAUAAACAAAAUAUCACCCCCAUUUUAGUGGUAGGGAAAUGAAGCUCAGAAGGGUUGACUCAUUUGCCCAAGAUGUAAAUGGCAAAGCCAGAACUUAGACAUGGUCCCCAAAUUUGUAAAAUUUCUAACAUGCCAUGCACAUGCAUUGAGUUUUAGGAGUUUUUCUAUAUAAUUAGGAGAAUUGAUUUUAAUGAAGAGUUAAUAUGAAACCAUGAGAGAGAACACAUGAUUUUAUUGUAACAGUGAAAUGGUCAACAUUGUAUGGUACUGUUGCAUACUCAAGCCCAAUCAAACUGGCUUAAUUAUUUAACAAAAGGAAUUUGCUGGCUCAAAUAACCAAUGGUCAGUGGUUAAUCCAGUGGUUCAAACAAGGGCAUCAGGACUCUCAUUUUCUGCAUCCCUUGGGUCUUCCCAUCUCUAUUGGGGUUUCCCCAUCCAGACAGGCAUUUUCCACGUGGCAAGAAGAUGUCAACUGGCAACUGCACUAAUGGCUUCUUAGAGCUUGUAAUUCCAGAGAAAGAACAAAUAUCUCCUUGAAGUGCUCCAGGAAAAUUCCUUAGGAGGACUCUGGCUUGAAACCCACACCCAUCUGUAAACCAUUUGGUGUGCCUGGGAGAUGAACUAGUCUAGUACCCUGCUGCCAGGCCUGAGUCACAGAUCCAUUCUGAAGGGGCUAAGCAGCCCCUCUAGAACAAUACAUAUUGAGCUGGACUGUUUUCUAACAGGAAGGGCAUGGCUCCUCGAAGGAAAAUUCCCUGGACAGUGUCAUUUUACCCUGUCCAAAAAAAACCCAACUUGAUUAGAGGGGAAAGAAAACAGUUUACCAAGAAUAUGUAGGGAACACAUGAGAAUCCAUGAACUAAAAUUGGCACGAGAGUUGAUAUACUUGGAACCUUCUAUACACAGGAUACUCGGUCACCCCAUGAGGCAGGUAAUAGCCCUAUUUUCCAAAUGAGGAAAACUGAAGUUCAGAUUCAGUCAGUUUGCUAGUAAGUGCCAGAGCUGGAAUCCAAACCUGGAUGUUGGACUCCAAAUCCUUGGAGCUUUGUAUCUCAGCACACUGCCCAUGCGGGAGGAGCCAGACGUGGAGGUUGAAACUGAUAGAUGAGCCCUUGGAAGCCAUAUCCCUGUGGGAAGACGGCUCUGAAAGCUCUAAGGGCAGCGCCGCACCACACUGGGAAACCGCCCAUGCCUUGGCCACUGCAGUCUUGCACAGCUACCAGCUGGGCAACUGACAAACUUCACAUGUGUCAAUGACAGUUUCUUCACAGUGGGACAAAAACACUACCAAAGCCUGCUCCCCCUAUCCUUGCUUCUGAUCAAGGGAAGAAUCACCUGGUGUCUUCAGGAAGGCAGGAAUCACAGGAGAAAGCUGGAUUGAGAGGGAAGGACAUGUUGGGUAUAGAAUGAAUGGAUGGUUGAAUAAAUAAAAACCCUAGAAAAAUGAAUUAAGAACAAGAAAAGAUCUCAAGUUUAGAGAGACUAGAUAGGAAAAUGGCACAUGGAAACUAAGAAAUUAAGACACCCUGUUGGCAGAAAAUGUGGAAAAAAAGGAUACAGUUGAAGAAACCAGUGUAGCCCUGUAGAGUUUCUGACAAGCUCAGAAUUUAAAAAGCAGGGGCAUAACAGAUGGGAGGAAAGGUAAGGUCCUUGAAGGCUUGGAAUUGGUGCAAAGACUGCUGAUUAUAUUCAGAGCAAGAGAAGUAAGAGAGGACAGAGUUCCACUUAGGAAUGAGUUUGGUUGGCAGUUAUCAAGGUAAGCAAAAUACUCAGCCCUUUUUUUCAUUUUUCCCCAAGGAAAAACAUUGCUAAGCUGAAAAGAAUUAAAAUGUGGUUUAAAGAGGAAACUGAAACCUCGAAUAGAAGAGAUAAGAGAAAACCUGGACUAGGGGUGUAGCUCAGAGGUAGAGCCCUUGCCUAGCAUACACAAGGCCCUGGGUUCCACCCAGCUGGAGUUGGCUGAGGACCUAAGCACCUAGCCCUUCAAAAUGAGCAGCAAAUCCUGAGGUGUUGAUAAUUCUUUAGAGAUAACAUCCAGGAAUCCUUGUGAGUGAGUUGAGAAAGCCAGAGUGAAAAGGAAAGGGGCCAUAACUCUGACUAACUGCAAAUGUCCUGACAUCCAGGAUAAAAAGGUAGAUUCUCAAGUCUCUUGCCAGGUACAUUUGAGGAGAAUCCCCCCCUCCCCCAGAAUUAUUCUAGAAUACAAUAUCAAACUAAGGGUUUGAGAAGACCUAGAAAAAGAAGUAGUGCUUUCACAAAGAGCAAGAUAUGGUGAAAAUACUGCCAAUGAUUAUUGUUUAGAAUUUAUUAUUUUCUGUGUUGCUGAAAACAGCAGGAUGUAAUUUAAAAGAAACAAGUGGAAAGACCUGUAUUUUUUUUAAAUCUAGGAGAAUUCCUUGGACCACAGUUCCUUGUUUCCAAGUAACAUUGAAUUCCUCAUGAUUGAUGGGACAGCUAGACAAUGAGCUCAGAGAUUGCCCAGUCGGGUGGAUUUAUAGCCUGUUUGACUGUUAUGCCCCUGUACUACAGUGGGCUGUUCAGUCAGUACAGAUCUUAGGUUCAUGCUCCUAGUCUCUUGUUUGGUCAGUUCCCUCAUCAUCAAUGGCCUUCACACUCACCAUGUUUGUACACAGUGUCACUGUUAGGGGGAAAAGCUAAUAUUUGAAUGUCAGAAUCAAGCUUCUAAAAUAACUUAAAACUGUGGGCUGAAACCAGCAGGAUGAAAUUUAAAAGAAAUAAGUGGAAAGACCUGCAUUUAGAUUUUUUUUUAAAAUCAGCUGCACAAGCCCAGGAUGAAAGAAAUUUGGCUUGACAGUGUUGCAUGCAAAAAUGACUUCAGGUUGAAUAGAAACCCUAGGAACAGAGCAGCUGUUUUAACAGAUAGUGCUUCUCCCCACCCCUUUUUAUUUUGAGUAUAAAGGGGGAAAACAGUGAAAAUAAGUCUUCCAUAAUCACUCCCCUUCCCAAGAGGCAACUGCUGUUAACAGUUUCUAGUAGAUCCUUCUAGAGGAAUCUAUACAUAUGAGCAUUUUUCUUGUUCAUAUAAAUGCUUGCAUAUUAUACACCUUGGUAUUUUUUCCACCUAACAGUGUUUCUUAGAGAUUAUCUCAUUUCAGGGUAUAAAGUGAUUCUUCAUGCUUUUAUAAAAGAUGCAUAAUAUGCUAUUGUAUAUAUGUAUCAUAAUUUAUAUAAUUGGCCCUCUAUGGCUAGAUGCAAAGGCUGUUUUCAGUAUUUUACUAUUACAGACAAUGCUGCAAUGAAUGACAUGUCUUUUUGCUAUUACAAACAGUUGCUAUUAAAAGCAAUGCUAAAAUUAGUAACAUGUAAUUUUAAACACAUGGGCAUGUAUCUGAAGGACAUCUUUGAAUCACUAAAUUGAAGGACAUACACAUUUUUCAAUUCAAUAGGUGUCGUACAAUUGCCCAAUCGCGUCAGUUAACCACUAAUGACUGUUUCUGUGCAUCCUCUCCAGUAGAAUGUGUUAUAAAUCUUACUCAUCUUUGAAAAUUGGUGAGGUGAAAAAAUAAUAAUAAUGAUAUUGUAAUUUUCUUAUUCUGACAGUUAUUUUCUUCUUCUUUUUUAAACCUUUAUUAAUUUAUUUGUGUGUGGUGCUGAUGAUCAAACCCAGCGCCUCGCAUGUGGUAGGUGAGUCCUCUACUGCUGAGCCACAACCCCAGACCCUCUUUUUUUUUUUUUUUUAAAUUAAAUGUAUCUUGUACCAUUUUUCUAUUGAGUUGUCUUUUUUAGUUAGAGCUCUUUAUAUAUUAAAAAAAAAUUGCAGUUUGUGGUAUGAGUUACAGAUAUGUUUUCCAUGUUGUAGUUUGUCUUCUAUUUGUUUCUGGCAAUUUUUUUCUGGGGGCGGUGCUGGGGAUUGAAUUCAAAGGCACCCAGCCACUAAACCACAUCCCCAACCCUAUUUUUUCUAUUUUAUUUACAGACAGGGUCUCACUGAGUUGCUUAGUGCCUCGCUUUUGCUGAGGAUGGCUUUGAACUCAUGAUCCUCCUGCCUCAGCCUACUGAGCCUCUGAGAUUACAGGCAUGCGCCACUACACCCAGCUAUUUCUGGCAAUUUUAUCAUGUAAAUAUAUUCUCCUUUUAAGUAGUAGUUAAAUUAAUCCAUUAAUUUUUUAUGAUUUCUGUUUUAUGUCAUAAUUUAAGAUCCUUUCUUAUUUUAUUUAUAUAUUUAUUUUAUUUUAUAUAUGUUUUGAAUACCAGGGAUAGAAUUCAGGGGUGAUCUACCUCUGAGCUACAUCCACAGCCCUUUUAUUUGUUUUAUUUUGAGAUGGUGUCUCACUUAGUUUCUGAGGGUCUUGCCAAGCUGCUGAGGCAGGUCUUGAACUUGUAAUGCUUCUGCCUCAGCCUUGAGUUGCUGGGAUUGCAGGCGUGCGUAUUCUAAAAUGCUUUUUAAAUUGCCUGAUUUCUUUUGUUGUUGUUUCAUUUUUAUAUUAAAUAUUUGAUCCAUCUCUUCAGAAUUUGUUUUGGAUAAGGUGUGAUGUAUGGAUCCAACUUUGUUUUUUUCCAGAUGGCUAUUUCAUUGUCCCUAUAUAAUCUAUUAAGUCAUUUAUCUUUAUUCCUCUCUGACUUUUACUAAUUCCAGUAUGUAUUUGGAUCUGAUACUAUAUUUUAUUUUCUGUUCGAUUGAUCCACUUCUUUUGAUACAUUUGAAUGAAUUAUAGUUUUUAUUGAUACUUAAAUUAAUUUUCAAAUGAAAGUGAUAAAUACACAUUCAAAGUUCAAAGUCUGGGAAAUAUAAAAAGUUACACAGAGCCAGGCACAGUGGCAAACACCUGUAAUUCCAGCUACUUGGAAGGCUGAAGCAGGAGGAUGGCAAGUUUAAGCCCAGCCUCAGCAACUUAGCAAAACUAUGUCUCAAAAUGAAAUUUUUAAGAAAGGGGCUGAGGAUGUAGCUCAGUUACCACUCAGAGUUCUUGCCUAGCAUGCAUAAGGUCCUGGGUUUGAACUCCAUUACCACAAGAAAAAAAAUUGUACAGAGAAAAAUAAAUAUUUUCUUGAAAGGGAUUAAGGUAGUUCUCACAGGUGGCUCUUGAGAAAACAAGUUAUAAUGAAAGAGCUGGACCCCUGAAUGACUCUCUGGCUUCCUAUUUCUGAUGUGAUCACUUACUCCCACCAUUGUGAUACCCUGUACCAUGAGGUCUUCACCAGAGCUGACCUGAUGCUGAUAUCACAUACCCUUUAGCUAAACUAUGAGCUAAAAUAAGCCUCUUGGGUGGGGUUGUAUCUCAGUGGUUGUAGCUCAUCUAGCAUGUUUGAGGUACUGGGUUUGAUUCUCAGCACCCCAUGAAAAUAAAUAAAAUAAAUCAAUGAAAGUUAUUUUAAAU
rnacentral:lncRNA from 1 species